rnacentral:rRNA from 1 species
UACGUAGGGUGCAAGCGUUGUCCGGAAUUAUUGGGCGUAAAGAGCUCGUAGGCGGUCUGUUACGUCGGCUGUGAAAACCUGGGGCUCAACUCCGGGCCUGCAGCCGAUACGGGCAGACUAGAGUUCGGCAGGGGAGGCUGGAAUUCCUGGUGUAGCGGUGGAAUGCGCAGAUAUCAGGAGGAACACCGGUGGCGAAGGCGGGUCUCUGGGCAGUAACUGACGCUGAGGAGCGAAAGCGUGGGGAGCGAACAGG